rnacentral:lncRNA from 1 species
AUGUCUUACCUCUCUCCAGCGAUUCUCCGAAGAUCCGUGUGUGUGUGUGUGUGUCUUACCUCUCUCCAGCGAUUCUCCGAAGAUCUGUGUGUGUGUGUUGUGUCUUUACCUCUCUCCAGCGAUUCUCCGAAGGUGUGUGUGUGUGUGUUUUACCUCUCUCCAGCGAUUCUCCGAAGAUCCGUGUGUGUGUGUAUGUGUGUGUGUGUGUGUGUCUUACCUCUCUCCAGCGAUUCUCCGAAGAUCCGUUGUGUGUGUGUGUCUUACCUCUCUCCAGCGCCUCUCCGAAGAAUCAGUGUGUGUGUGUGUGUGUCUUACCUCUCUCCAGCGAUUCUCGAAGAUCCGUGUGUGUGUGUGUGGUGUGUGUGUCUUACCUCUCUCCAGCGAUUCUCCGAAAGAUCCGUGUGUGUGUGUGUGUCUUACCUCUCUCUAGCGAUUCUCCGAAGAUCCGUGUUUGUGUGUGUGUGUGUGUCUUACCUCUCUCCAGCGAUUCUCCGAAGAUCCAUGUGUGUGUCGUGUGUGUGUGUCUUACCUCUCUCCAGCGAUUCUCCGAAUAUCCGUGUGUGUGUGUGUGUGUGUGUAUGUGUCUUACCUCUCUCCAGUGAUUCUCCGAAGAUCUGUGUGUGUGUGUGUGUGUGUGUGUGUCUUACCUCUCUCCAGCGAUUCUCCGAAGAUCCGUGUGUCUGUGUGUGUGUCUUACCUCUCCAGCGCUUCUCCGAAGAUCAGUGUGGUGUGUGUGUGUGUGUCUACCCUCUCCAGCGAUCUCCAAGACCGUGGUCUGGUGUGUGUCUUACCUCUCUCCAGCGAUUCUCCGAAUAUCCGUGUGGUGUUGUUGGUGUGUGUGUAUGUGUCUUACUCUCUCCAGCGAUUCUCGAAGGUGUGGUGUGUGUUGUGUGUGUGUGUGUCUUACCUCUCUCCAGCGAUUCUCCGAAGAUCUGUGUGUGUGUGUGUGUCUUACCUCUCCCAGCGAUUCUCCGAAUAUCAGUGUGUGUGUGUGUAUGUCUUACCUCUCUCCCAGCGAUUCUCCGAAGAUCCGUGUGUGUGUGUGUGUGUCUUACCUCUCUCCAGCGCUUCUCCGAAGAUCAGUGUGUGUGUGUGUGUCUUACCUCUCUCCAGCGAUUCUCCGAAGAUCCGUGUGUGUGUGUGUGUGUGUGUCUUACCUCUCUCCAGCGAUUCUCCGAAGAUCCGUGUGUGUGUGUGUGUGUGUGUGUCUUACCUCUCUCCAGCGAUUCUCCGAAGAUCCGCGUGUGUGUGUGUGUCUUACCUCUCUCCAGCGUGUGUGGGUGUGUGUCUUAGAAUUCAAAGGUACAGCACGCACAUUCUAAACCUUAAAACUGGGUGCUGGGCAGACAAGUAA